CUGGAGUCCCUGGUUCCUUUUACUCAAGGAUCUUCCCUUGGAAUAGUCUUCAUUUCAUACAUUCAAUUUACAGUAUUCAUUAUCUCUCUAAGUUCAAGUCCUGUAAAGUGAAUACAAGGCUUACUUGAAUCAAUUCCAAAAAGACUUUAUGACAUUUCUAAGAAUGCGGUCUGACGAGAUGGUAUCUAGUGGACGCAUGGUUCUCAAAUUACUCGGCAGAAACACUAUAAAUGAUCCAUUUGUACAGAGAUUGUUGUCAUUAUUUGACAUUGUUAUCAGAUUCUCUCCGCGACCUAGUUUUCGAGGUAAAUAUCAUAAAAUAUCAUUUUUAUAUAUUUUAAAUAUGUUCACCUGGCUUCAAUGAUUCGCUUUCAUCGUGAUCUUUGUAUAUGGUUUUGUGAGUGCAUCAAAGGUGAGUUCGUUCAAGAUGCCGUUUUAUGAUCCAACCGAAGAAGAAGUGAAAAAAAUUAUUAGAAAUGAGGGUUCAUUCAUGAUAAAUGACUUGGAGACGCAUGCAUUAAAUUUCGGCCACAGUAACAAAGAAAGUAGCUCGCAAUCAUAUAAAGCUAAUUUUGUUCAAAAAAAAAAUCAUAUAAAGCUAACCCAGAGAAACAAGAGGCUAAUAUUAUAGUUUGACCUAUGCCAAGGUUGAUAUUUUGCGUGAGAGCCUUAAUUCAAUUGACCUAUGCCAAGGUUGAUAUUAUAGUUUUUGAAGCCCAUCAAGCAAGGAUUACAGAG